rnacentral:snoRNA from 1 species
CGAAAAUGAUGAUCAUAUUCUUUGGUCCGUGUUUAUGACGGGAAGUAAGACCCCCGGUAUGAGUGACAAAGAAGACGUAUUUCAUUAUACAACUCUGAUAUU